rnacentral:rRNA from 1 species
CUGCCCGUAGCAGGGGGAUAAGCGGAAGAAAUUCCGUCUAAUACCGCGUAAUAACUCCGAGAGGCAUCUCCUGGGGUUUAAAGGGUAACACCGGCUACGGAUGGCCAUGCGGCGCAUUAGCUAGUUGGCGGGGUAACGGCCCACCAAGGCGACGAUGCGUAGGGGUUCUGAGAGGAAGGUCCCCCACACUGGUACUGAGACACGGACCAGACUCCUACGGGAGGCAGCAGUGAGGAAUAUUGGUCAAUGGGCGCGAGCCUGAACCAGCCAAGUCGCGUGAGGGAAGACGGUCCUAUGGAUUGUAAACCUCUUUUGUCGGGGAGCAAAAGACGCCACGCGUGGCGUUCCGAGAGUACCCGAAGAAAAAGCAUCGGCUAACUCCGUGCCAGCAGCCGCGGUAAUACGGAGGAUGCGAGCGUUAUCCGGAUUUAUUGGGUUUAAAGGGUGCGCAGGCGGAAGAUCAAGUCAGCGGUAAAAUUGAGAGGCUCAACCUCUUCGAGCCGUUGAAACUGGUUUUCUUGAGUGAGCGAGAAGUAUGCGGAAUGCGUGGUGUAGCGGCGAAAUGCAUAGAUAUCACGCAGAACUCCGAUUGCGAAGGCAGCAUACCGGCGCUCAACUGACGCUCAUGCACGAAAGUGUGGGUAUCGAACAGGAUUAGAUACCCUGGUAGUCCACACAGUAAACGAUGA